GUUUCUACAUAUUUCCUCUGGAAGAAUAAAACCCAAUUAAUGAGUUCAGAAUUUUUCUAUUGUCAAAGACAAAAGGGAUAAAGAUGGAUUCUGUGCCCAAAGUUUUAUACUUAAAUGUGAAAAUUUUCUCUUUAUCUCUCCCCGGACAAUAUAUUCUUCCAACUUUCCUUCCAAGUUUUCCUGUAUAUAUGUAUCAGCGUCAUAUUGCAUAAACCCACAAAUCCAAUCUUCAAACCAGUCAUCUCUGCCUAUCUGGUAAGCUGAGAUAGGAGAUAGAAUCCUGCGUCCACCACUGCCAGAGCGGAAUUUUCUCAAGGGAUGCCUUGCAUGCAGGCUUGCAGCUAGCUUUAUGUUGUUGUUGGCUCUCUGAGUGUUCCGACUCUCUUAUUCGUCGCAUCAAUUGAUGUUUUACUGAAUGCGUACAUGUUUUUAUAUAUAAAUGUUAGCUUCUGAUACACAGAUGUAUAUUACUAGACUCCAUGUAUUUAAGGUUGAGUGGUGAAUGGAAUGAAGUUUGUGGUGUAGGAGAGAUUUUUUUUUUAUGCAUUUGAGGUUGGGAAUUAAUGUCUGUUGUGAUGAAGAAGUUGAGUGAUGUUCAAGUGAACUAAUAUGCUCAACAAAAAGCCAUUAGUACUGCUAUAAACAAAGCUAGUAGUAUCAGACACACAAUACACAAAGAGGAAAGAAAAUCUUGCAGAUCGAGUUAGGGUU